rnacentral:tRNA from 1 species
GCAGUGGUGGUUCAGUGGUAGAAUUAUCACCUACCACGCCGGGGUUGUGGGUACAAAUCCCAGCCAAUGCA